UCCAGCACCCCCCGCGAUCCUUGUGAGGAUUAAGCGGGUCAGAAAAUGGAUGGAUGGAUGGAUGAAUCCAAUGUUUGAUAUGCAAAUGAACUCUGAAUUGUAUUUGUUUAAAGCAGUCUCACACUGGCUGAAUUAAUUUUCCUUCGUCGCAAAUUGUUACAUUCACACUGAACUGGCAUCGAAUCAAAGGAGUAAUUAAUCGUGGCAUUUUGCUAUGGAGGAAAUCUGCACAGAUGUGCAAACAAACCAAUCUUGCACACGCCUCUCAUGUGUGACAACUCACUGAAACGCUCGCUGCCUUCUUUUGACACGAGGUGGUCAGCAGGGAAUUUUACAGCUCUCACUAAGCCUCUCCUUACGAGCCUCUAAGGAAAAGGAAGGUGAUAACUUGACUAUAAUCUUCUGUCGGUCAUGGAAAGAAACCCCCCUUGGAUUGUUUUCCUAUAUGCCGUGACAAUCCCAUAGUUUUGUUACGAUAAAUGUUCCUAAUGCAGAUUCUGUGUUUCACGAUUCCAUUUCCUAUCUGAACGUAUCCUUUGUUUUUUUUUUUAAC